rnacentral:miRNA from 1 species
AAAUUGAUGAAUUUAUGGAGU